rnacentral:rRNA from 1 species
GAUGAACGCUAGCGGCAGGCCUAAUACAUGCAAGUCGAACGGGAUUAAGAGGCUUGCUUCUUAUGAGAGUGGCGCACGGGUGCGUAACACGUAUGCAACCUACCUUCAACAGGGGGAUAGCCUUCCGAAAGGGAGAUUAAUACCGCAUAAUAUAAUUGAACGGCAUCGUUUGAUUAUCAAACUUACAAGGGUUGAAGAUGGGCAUGCGUCCGAUUAGUUAGUUGGUGAGGUAACGGCUCACCAAGGCAUCGAUCGGUAGGGGAUCUGAGAGGAUGACCCCCCACACUGGUACUGAGACACGGACCAGACUCCUACGGGAGGCAGCAGUAAGGAAUAUUGGUCAAUGGACGCAAGUCUGAACCAGCCAUGCCGCGUGCAGGAAGACGGUCCUCUGGAUUGUAAACUGCUUUUGUUAGGGAAGAAACCCUCGGUUGCGAUCGAGGCUGACGGUACCUAAAGAAUAAGGAUCGGCUAACUCCGUGCCAGCAGCCGCCGUAAUAC